rnacentral:rRNA from 1 species
UACGUAGGGAGCAAGCGUUGUCCGGAAUCAUUGGGCGUAAAGCGCACGUAGGCGGCCCUGUAAGUCCGCUGUGAAAGUCAAAGGCUCAACCUUUGAAAGCCGGUGGAUACUGCAGGGCUAGAGUCCGGAAGAGGCGAGUGGAAUUCCUGGUGUAGCGGUGGAAUGCGCAGAUAUCAGGAGGAACACCGGUGGCGAAGGCGACAUCCUGGACCGGUAUUGACGCUGAGGCGCGAAAGCCAGGGGAGCAAACGGG